CUCAUCUCUAUAUCCCUCACCUCUGUGAACUGUGGACCUCCGGGUCUAUCUUAACAAACAUCAGUGUAAUGAACGUGUAUAAUAUUAAUAAAACAAAACUUUCAACAACGGAUCUCUUGGCUCUCGCAUCGAUGAAGAACGCAGCGAAAUGCGAUAAGUAAUGUGAAUUGCAGAAUUCAGUGAAUCAUCGAAUCUUUGAACGCACCUUGCGCCUUUUGGUAUUCCGAAAGGCAUGCCUGUUUGAGUGUCAUGAAAUCUCAAUCCCCCUGGGUUUAUGAUCUGGGCUGGGACUUGGACUUGGGCGCUGCCGGUUACACGGCUCACCUCAAAUGACUUAGUGGAUCUCUCUGCAUCCGUGACAGACGUAAUAAGUUUCGUCUCGCCCCUUGCUGUCUGAGUCUGCUCCUAACCUGCCAUCGUGCACUUUUAGACUCUGACCUCAAAUCAGGUAGGACUACCCGCUGAACUUAAGCAUAUCAAUAAGCGGAGGAAAAGAAACUAACAAGGAUUCCCCUAGUAACGGCGAGUGAACCGGGAAGAGCUCAAAUUUGAAAUCUGGCAUCCUCAGGGUGUCCGAGUUGUAAUCUAUAGAGGCAUUUUCCGUGCCGGACCGUGUCCAAGUUCCUUGGAACAGGAUAUCAAAGAGGGUGACAAUCCCGUACUUGACACGACGACCGGUGCUCUGUGAUAUGUCUUCUACGAGUCGAGUUGUUUGGGAAUGCAGCUCAAAAUGGGUGGUGAGUUCCAUCUAAGGCUAAAUAUUGGCGAGAGACCGAUAGCGAACAAGUACCGUGAGGGAAAGAUGAAAAGCACUUUGGAAAGAGAGUUAAACAGUACGUGAAAUUGUUGAAGGGGAAACGAUUGAAGUCAGUCGUGACCGA
rnacentral:rRNA from 1 species